GCAGCAUCAAUUACAUGGGGCAGAUCAAAGUUCAAUCCACGAACGUGUGGAUACGUAGAGGUUAUCUUUGUAAGACU